rnacentral:rRNA from 1 species
AACGCUGGCGGCGCGCUUAACACAUGCAGGUCGAGCGAGAACCAAGCCUUCGGGCUUGGGGACAGCGGCGAACGGGUGAGUAACACGUGGGUAAUCAACCCUCGACACUGGGAUAGCCCGGGGAAACCCGGAUUAAUACCGGAUACCCCAUCUAGCCUUCGGGCCGGCUGGAAAAGGUAGCUUUGGCCUCCGGUCGAGGACGAGCCCGCGGCGGAUUAGCUUGUUGGUGGGGUAAAAGCCCACCAAGGCGACGAUCCGUAGCUGGUCUGAGAGGACGGUCAGCCACACUGGGACUGAGACACGGCCCAGACUCCUACGGGAGGCAGCAGUGGGGAAUCUUGCGCAAUGGGCGAAAGCCUGACGCAGCGACGCCGCGUGAGGGAAGAAGGCCUUCGGGUUGUAAACCUCUUUCAGAAGGGACGAAGCCACUCGGGUUAAUAGCCCAGAGGGUGACGGUACCUUCAGAAGAAGCCCCGGCUAACUACGUGCCAGCAGCCGCCGUAACAC